AAUCUGCGAAAAGCGUCGGUAAGGUGAUAUGAACCGUUAUAACCGGCGAUGUCCGAAUGGGGAAACCCAGUGUGAUUCGUCACACUAUCGUUAACUGAAUACAUAGGUUAACGAGGCGAACCGGGGGAACUGAAACAUCUAAGUACCCCGAGGAAAAGAAAUCAACCGAGAUUCCCCCAGUAGCGGCGAGCGAACGGGGAGCAGCCCAGAGUCUGAAUCAGCUUGUGUGUUAGUGGAACGGUCUGGAAAGUCCGACGGUACAGGGUGAUAGUCCCGUACACCAAAAUGCACAGGCUGUGAACUCGAAGAGUAGGGCGGGACACGUGGUAUCCUGUCUGAAUAUGGGGGGACCAUCCUCCAAGGCUAAAUACUCCUGACUGACCGAUAGUGAACCAGUACCGUGAGGGAAAGGCGAAAAGAACCCCGGCGAGGGGAGUGAAAAAGAACCUGAAACCGUGUACGUACAAGCAGUGGGAGCACCUUCGGGUGUGACUGCGUACCUUUUGUAUAAUGGGUCAGCGACUUAUAUUCUGUAGCAAGGUUAACCGUAUAGGGGAGCCGCAGGGAAACCGAGUCUUAACUGGGCGUUAAGUUGCAGGGUAUAGACCCGAAACCCGGUGAUCUAGCCAUGGGCAGGUUGAAGGUUGGGUAACACUAACUGGAGGACCGAACCGACUAAUGUUGAAAAAUUAGCGGAUGACUUGUGGCUGGGGGUGAAAGGCCAAUCAAACCGGGAGAUAGCUGGUUCUCCCCGAAAGCUAUUUAGGUAGCGCCUCGUGAACUCAUCUUCGGGGGUAGAGCACUGUUUCGGCUAGGGGGUCAUCCCGACUUACCAACCCGAUGCAAACUACGAAUACCGAAGAAUGUUAUCACGGGAGACACACGGCGGGUGCUAACGUCCGUCGUGAAGAGGGAAACAACCCAGACCGCCAGCUAAGGUCCCAAAGUCAUGGUUAAGUGGGAAACGAUGUGGGAAGGCACAGACAGCCAGGAUGUUGGCUUAGAAGCAGCCAUCAUUUAAAGAAAGCGUAAUAGCUCACUGGUCGAGUCGGCCUGCGCGGAAGAUGUAACGGGGCUAAACCAUGCACCGAAGCUGCGGCAGCGACACUAUGUGUUGUUGGGUAGGGGAGCGUUCUGUAAGCCUGCGAAGGUGACCUGUGAGGGUUGCUGGAGGUAUCAGAAGUGCGAAUGCUGACAUAAGUAACGAUAAAGCGGGUGAAAAGCCCGCUCGCCGGAAGACCAAGGGUUCCUGUCCAACGUUAAUCGGGGCAGGGUGAGUCGACCCCUAAGGCGAGGCCGAAAGGCGUAGUCGAUGGGAAACAGGUUAAUAUUCCUGUACUUGGUGUUACUGCGAAGGGGGGACGGAGAAGGCUAUGUUAGCCGGGCGACGGUUGUCCCGGUUUAAGCAUGUAGGCUGAUUAUCCAGGCAAAUCCGGAUAAUCAAGGCUGAGGUGUGAUGACGAGGCACUACGGUGCUGAAGUAACAAAUGCCCUGCUUCCAGGAAAAGCCUCUAAGCAUCAGGUAACAUCAAAUCGUACCCCAAACCGACACAGGUGGUCAGGUAGAGAAUACCAAGGCGCUUGAGAGAACUCGGGUGAAGGAACUAGGCAAAAUGGUGCCGUAACUUCGGGAGAAGGCACGCUGGUGUGUAGGUGAAGCCCCUGCGGGUGGAGCUGAGACCAGUCGAAGAUACCAGCUGGCUGCAACUGUUUAUUAAAAACACAGCACUGUGCAAACACGAAAGUGGACGUAUACGGUGUGACGCCUGCCCGGUGCCGGAAGGUUAAUUGAUGGGGUUAUCCGUAAGGAGAAGCUCUUGAUCGAAGCCCCGGUAAACGGCGGCCGUAACUAUAACGGUCCUAAGGUAGCGAAAUUCCUUGUCGGGUAAGUUCCGACCUGCACGAAUGGCGUAAUGAUGGCCAGGCUGUCUCCACCCGAGACUCAGUGAAAUUGAACUCGCUGUGAAGAUGCAGUGUACCCGCGGCAAGACGGAAAGACCCCGUGAACCUUUACUAUAGCUUGACACUGAACAUUGAGCCUUGAUGUGUAGGAUAGGUGGGAGGCUUUGAAGCGUGGACGCCAGUCUGCGUGGAGCCAACCUUGAAAUACCACCCUUUAAUGUUUGAUGUUCUAACGUUGGCCCCUUACCGGGGUUGCGGACAGUGUCUGGUGGGUAGUUUGACUGGGGCGGUCUCCUCCCAAAGCGUAACGGAGGAGCACGAAGGUUAGCUAAUCCUGGUCGGACAUCAGGAGGUUAGUGCAAUGGCAUAAGCUAGCUUGACUGCGAGCGUGACGGCGCGAGCAGGUGCGAAAGCAGGUCAUAGUGAUCCGGUGGUUCUGAAUGGAAGGGCCAUCGCUCAACGGAUAAAAGGUACUCCGGGGAUAACAGGCUGAUACCGCCCAAGAGUUCAUAUCGACGGCGGUGUUUGGCACCUCGAUGUCGGCUCAUCACAUCCUGGGGCUGAAGUAGGUCCCAAGGGUAUGGCUGUUCGCCAUUUAAAGUGGUACGCGAGCUGGGUUUAGAACGUCGUGAGACAGUUCGGUCCCUAUCUGCCGUGGGCGCUGGAGAAUUGAGGGGGGCUGCUCCUAGUACGAGAGGACCGGAGUGGACGCAUCACUGGUGUUCGGGUUGUCAUGCCAAUGGCACUGCCCGGUAGCUAAAUGCGGAAGAGAUAAGUGCUGAAAGCAUCUAAGCACGAAACUUGCCCCGAGAUGAGUUCUCCCUGAGACUUUAAGUCUCCUGAAGGAACGUU
rnacentral:rRNA from 1 species